rnacentral:rRNA from 1 species
CCUACGGGGAGCAGCAGUGGGGGAUAUUGCACAAUGGGGGAAACCCUGAUGCAGCGACGCCGCGUGGGUGAAGAAGUAUUUCGGUAUGUAAAGCCCUAUCAGCAGGGAAGAAAGAAGACGGUACCUGACUAAGAAGCCCCGGCUAACUACGUGCCAGCAGCCGCGGUAAUACGUAGGGGGCGAGCGUUAUCCGGAUUCACUGGGUGUAAAGGGAGCGUAGACGGCCGUGCAAGCCAGGAGUGAAAGCCCGGGGCCCAACCCCGGGACUGCUCUUGGAACUGUGCGGCUGGAGUGCGGGAGGGGCAGGCGGAAUUCCUGGUGUAGCGGUGAAAUGCGUAGAUAUCAGGAGGAACACCGGCGGCGAAGGCGGCCUGCUGGACCGCGACUGACGUUGAGGCUCGAAAGCGUGGGGAGCGAACAGGAUUAGAUACCCCAGUAGUC